UACGUAGGGGGCAAGCGUUGUCCGGAUUUACUGGGCGUAAAGCGCGCGUAGGUGGAACGAUCAGUCCGGUCUGAAAGCCCCCGGCUCAACCGGGGAGGGUGGCUGGAAACUGUCGUUCUUGAGGGCGAGAGAGGAGGGUGGAAUUCCUGGUGUAGCGGUGAAAUGCGUAGAGAUCAGGAAGAACAUCGGUGGCGAAGGCGCUCUGCUGGACCAUAACUGACACUCAGGGACGAAAGCUAGGGGAGCGAAUGGG
rnacentral:rRNA from 1 species